AUGAAGCUUAUCUCAUGGAAUUGCCGGGGGUUGGGGAAUGGCCCGGCAAUUCGCAGCCUUCUGGAGCUCCAGAAGGAGGAGGACCCCGAUGUACUUUUUUUGUCGGAAACAAGGAUGGUGCGUGGCAGGCUGGAAUGGUUGAGGUGGAAGAUGGGCAUGACCAAUAUGAUUGUAAAAGACUACGAGGGGCAGAGUGGUGGACUGGCUUUGUUUUGGAAGAAUCAAGUU
rnacentral:rRNA from 1 species